CUCCUCUUGAAUAAAAUGGGAGGUAUGAUCUGCUCCAUGCAGAAGUAAAUUGCCGCAGUAUCUUGACUGUGCUAAGGUAGCAAAAUAAUUUGGCUUUUAAUUGGAGUCUGGAAUGAAUGAUUUGACAAAGUCUAGUCUGUCUCACUCAUUGUUCUUGAAAUUAGAAUUUCUGUAAAAAUACAGAAAUAAACGAGAGGGACGAAAAGACCCUAUAGAUCUUUACUCUUCAUAUUAAAUUAAUGUCGCAAUUUAAAGGUCGAGUUUUCUUGGGGCAAGACUAAAAAUUAAAUUUUGGUAAAAGAAAAAGAUUGAUUAGUCGAAAGGAUGAGAAAUAUAAUAAGAUAAGUUACCUUAGGGAUAACAGGAUAAUUUCUUUACUUAGAACUUAUAAGAAAAGAAGUUUGUCACCUCGAUGUUGAAUUAAGUUUUCUUUAAUUCGAAGAAGGAUAUGGAGUUAGUCUGUUCGACUAUUAAAAACUU
rnacentral:rRNA from 1 species